rnacentral:rRNA from 1 species
AUUGAACGCUGGCGGCAGGCCUAACACAUGCAAGUCGAACGGUAACAGGAAGAAGCUUGCUUCUUUGCUGACGAGUGGCGGACGGGUGAGUAAUGUCUGGGAAACUGCCUGAUGGAGGGGGAUAACUACUGGAAACGGUAGCUAAUACCGCAUAACGUCGCAAGCCCAAAGAGGGGGACCUUCGGGCCUCUUGCCAUCGGAUGUGCCCAGAUGGGAUUAGCUAGUAGGUGGGGUAACGGCUCACCUAGGCGACGAUCCCUAGCUGGUCUGAGAGGAUGACCAGCCACACUGGAACUGAGACACGGUCCAGACUCCUACGGGAGGCAGCAGUGGGGAAUAUUGCACAAUGGGCGCAAGCCUGAUGCAGCCAUGCCGCGUGUAUGAAGAAGGCCUUCGGGUUGUAAAGUACUUUCAGCGGGGAGGAAGGGAGUAAAGUUAAUACCUUUGCUCAUUGACGGUACCCGCAGAAGAAGCACCGGCUAACUCCGUG